rnacentral:tRNA from 1 species
CAAUAAAUAGUUUAAUUAGAGAAUAUUAAUUUUGGGUAUUAAAGGUAUAGGCUUUAUUUUGUUGA